UGAAUGUUUCUCUUAAAAAUAAUAAUCAUUCUCUGCUUCUAUUUUUGAUUUGUUUUUCUGUUUUUCAGAACUGAAAACCACAAGGACUAUCCCUUCAAAGCAGAGUACUGAGGCCCUCCUUGGCCGGGACAAAUCGUCGCCGAGGCACAGGCAGCUCUGGUCAGGGAUGCUGGGACGCAGUUGGAUUUGGGGACUCCAGCCAUAUCGUGACUGAUCAGGCUAAGUGACAUGGAAUGAAGCAGGUACGUUCUCAUCCUUGAGAUGUCCUCCAAUCAUCAACCCCAAACCAAGAACUCUGGAGCAACCACAGACACUGCUGUUAAUAUUCAUCAUGAAAUGGAUAAUUUGGAUGAUGAGACAGUCUAAAAGGCAGUAACUCUUCUUGCCCGUUCACGCGAUGCCAGCCCCUGGAUGCCAGAUGCUGUACUGUACUACUGUACUUUUCAAGGUCCUUUUGCCCCCGAGAUUUCUCUGGAUGCUCUACGAUUGGAGGUGGAUGGGGACAACUUGGACAUUAGAAAUUACAGAGAAACUUCAUCACAAAGAAAUUUGCGGCAACAUCUCUGAUAUGUGGUAAUCAAGACAACUAGGUUUCACUGAUUCUAAUCUACUGUGGAAUGGCUACAACUGGACAGCAAAUGAGAAUAAAGGGAAAAGAUGGAC